AUGAUUGACCGUCUGUCGAGCUUGCUCACAGGCACAUCAUAUCCAUAACACCUGUGCACUUGUCGGAUGGCUUAGUGAAGACCGCAAGGUUGAAUCUAUCCAUCUACUUUACAUAACAAUUCUGUAACAAAUGUAGUCUUAUUAUAACAUAAUA
rnacentral:misc_RNA from 2 species